AAAGUGGUGGCUGAAUGGUUAAAGCGGUAGACUGUAAAUCUAUUGGGAAACCGUUAUUGGUUCGAAUCCAAUUCACUUUA